UGGGGAAUCUUCCGCAAUGGGCGAAAGCCUGACGGAGCAAUGCCGCGUGAGUGAAGAAGGCCUUCGGGUUGUAAAACUCUAUCAUUAUCCAAGAGAGCAUACUGUAGUAACUGACAGUAUGAGGACGGUAGAUAAUAAGGAAGCCCCGGCUAACUAUGUGCCAGCAGCCGCGGUAAAACAUAGGGGGCAAGCGUUGUCCGGAAUCACUGGGCGUAAAGGGCGCGUAGGUGGACUGUUAAGUCGGAUGUGAAAUUUAGGGGCUCAACCCCUAACGUGCAUCCGAUACUGGCAGACUUGAGUGCGGAAGAGGUAAGUGGAAUUCCUAGUGUAGCGGUGAAAUGCGUAGAUAUUAGGAGGAACACCAGUGGCGAAGGCGACUUACUGGGCCGUAACUGACGCUGAGGCGCGAAAGCGUGGGGAGCAAACAGGAUUAGAUACCCUGGUA
rnacentral:rRNA from 1 species